AUAGCCAUAAACAUAAAUAGUUCACAACACUACUAUUCGCCAGAGAACUACAAGCCACUGCUUAAAACUCAAAGGACUUGGCGGUGCUUUAUAUCCAUCUAGAGGAGCCUGUUCCAUAAUCGAUGAUCCCCGAUCUACCUUACCACUCCUUGCUAAUUCAGCCUAUAUACCGCCAUCUUCAGCCGACCCUAAAAAGGAAACAAAGUAAGCUAAAAGAGUAAAUACUAAAGAAGUUAGGUCAAGGUGUAGCCUAUGAAGUGGAGCGAAAUGGGCUACAUUUUCUAACCCUAGAACAUUACGAAACCCUAUGUGAAACCCAUAGGAUAAAGGAGGAUUUAGUAGUAAAUUAAAACUAGAGUGUUUAAUUGAAUAGAGCAAUGAAGCACG
rnacentral:rRNA from 1 species